GACGAACGCUGGCGGCGUGCCUAACACAUGCAAGUCGAACGGAGAUAUGAUUUCGGUUGUAUCUUAGUGGCGAACGGGUGAGUAACGCGUGAACAACCUGACUCUAAGAGGGGGAUAACACUCGGAAACGGGUGCUACUACCGCAUAAGACCACGACCCGGCAUCGGGAUGAGGUCAAAGGAGCAAUCCGCUGAGAGAGGGGUUCGCGUCCCAUUAGAUAGAUGGCGGGGUAACGGCCACCAUGUCAACGAUGGGUAGCCGAGCUGAGAGGCUGAUCGGCCACACUGGACCUGAGACACGGUCCAGACUCCUACGGGAGGCAGCAGUGGGGAAUAUUGGGCAAUGGGCGCAAGCCUGACCUAGCAACGCAGCGUGAGGGAAGAAGGCUUUCGGGUUGUAAACCUCUGUCCUUGGUGACGAAACAAAUGACGGUAGCCAAGGAGGAAGCCCCGGCUAACUACGUGCCAGCAGCCGCCGCCG
rnacentral:rRNA from 1 species